CCUACGGGCGGCAGCAGUGAGGAAUAUUGGUCAAUGGACGAGAGUCUGAACCAGCCAAGUAGCGUGAAGGAUGACUGCACUAUGGGUUGUAAACUUCUUUUAUAAAGGAAUAAAACGAGGCACGUGUGCCUUUUUGCGUGUACUUUAUGAAUAAGGAUCGGCUAACUCCGUGCCAGCAGCCGCGGUAAUACGGAGGAUCCGAGCGUUAUCCGGAUUUAUUUGGUUUAAAGGGAGCGUAGAUGGGUUUUUAAGUCAGUUGUGAAAGUUUGCGGCUCAACCGUAGAAUUGCAAUUGAUACUGGCAGUCUUGAGUACAGUUGAGGUAAGCGGAAUGCGUGGUGUAGCGGUGAAAUGCUUAGAUAUCACGAAGAACCCCGAUUGCGAAGGCAGCUUACUAAACUGUGACUGACAUUGAUGCUCGAAAGUGUGGGUAUCAAACAGGAUUAGAUACCCUAGUAGUC
rnacentral:rRNA from 1 species